CGUAACCUCUUUGGAGCGGGAAGAAUAGCGCUUGGGUGAAUAAUCCAGGCGCCUGACGGUACCGCUAGAACAAGACACGGCUAACUCUGUGC
rnacentral:rRNA from 1 species